UUCAGGGGCUGGAUGUGGUCGGAUGUGAACAGAGCUUGUGAGGAGGACUCGCCUACUCUCACGGGUAUAGCGAUCCAGGACAUGCAGGCCAAUGUGCAGAGAACUGGCCAAAAUGCUUGCAAAUCAUCGAUAUUCACUUUGUGCAGCUGUUCAAAACUUAAUUCACAGUUCAAAUCCAGAUCUUUACAACUCAUAAACAUUAAAAGCAGUUAUUUCAAAUACAGCUAAUUUCUUGGCAAUCACACAAUUGGCCUCGGCUGCACCUUUUUCGGUAGUCAAAAUUUCGAGAGUUGCCGGAUCAAGUUUGCAUGUAGUUACCUCAAACCUUUCGUACCAGGUAUCGUGAACUACUAGUUAGAAUCGAGCCAAAACCGCCAUUUUAUUUCAACCCGAAAUAAUAGCGGUCAAGUAUCUUCACUCUUCAGAGCGCAAUCGUCAACACAUUUCUGAUGCGCUUCUCACUCGCCGCCUUCUUCUUCGAGGACUUCAUUUCGUGCUGGGAGUCAGCUGCGUGAUGGAAUGCCUAGUAGCGAUACCGGAAGUAAAACUCGAAGCAUGUAAGCGCAUAUACACGUACUUCAAUCAUAUACUGGUGAAUGUGAAGCCUACAGGUAAAUUCCGAGCACGGGGUGCAUCCCAGGAGUGAAAUCUGGAGUGAUUACGACUAUCCUCUGAUUUGAUAUGUAGAAGAAAACGCAAGUAGAAGUGGCUCCUACAACUGGGCAUAGCAGGAACCAUGCUCAGCACAUGGCAGAACAACUUGCGCUAGCCAGUAGAGGUCGAUUAAGGUACUGCGUGAUGCAGGGAUAGUGCCGUCAGCUAAAAGAUGACUCACAAAUGGCCUCACGCGUACUAUUGAACACACGCGUACUGCCAUGCACGAGUGAAGGACAAAAGACAAAAACGUCCCCUUACUUUAUGGUCUUCGGGGAGUACGGGGGAGGCGGCGGUGACCUAUCGCUGUUUCUAUUCCGCUGCAAUGUACCAGCGCUCAUGCGCAGAACUGAUUACAUUUCCCCAAUCAAUUUAGCAAGUUUUUCCAGAGUUGGCCCACUUAAAUUGUGCUUCAUUUUCUUGCAACUAGAGCUUUGCUUCCUAUUGCCGUCGUCGGCCGGCCACGAACCUCAUUCUUAAUUACAUAAGGGCGUGUAUCAAAUUCUCAAUAAACGUGAAGGCUAUCAUUCGCGACUGUUAAGCUGCAUUAUAAGAUCCAAUUUAAGCGACAGACUGUACAGUGCAAUCUGCAAGGCCUCUGCAAGAUUGGAGCACAUGGCAGAUGAACAGCGAAAUAUGGAAACAAUUUCCUUGUUUUGAGACACAGGAUACGGGUUCACUUUAUACUGUUAUCUACUACUACA
rnacentral:lncRNA from 1 species